UUUAUCAGUGAGUUUCUUCUUAGUCCUUCCCUCCUGCAGCUGUUCCUAAUUAUGUCAGCAUUUGCUGAGUUUUAUUGUAGAAAGGCUGAUGAAGAGGACCACUGUCCUCCAGGUCUUCCUGUGUAAAUGAGUCGUGAUUUUUCUGUGAAAUGUGCAUGUUAAAGGGUACAGGGAAAAGAAAGCUGUCAUUUGAGAAUUAUUUUUUGUAUAAAAUAAUGUGCAGUUGGGGGCCAGAGGGACUCAACUGGGCAAAAGUACCAUAUAAUCCUAAUAGCUUGAGUUCCACCCCUGGGACACACAAUGGGACUAGAGACCUGUCUCCUUCACAUUGUCCUCUAACCUCCACACAUGUAAGACAGACAGACAGGCAGACACACACACACACACACACACACACACACACACACACACAGAGCUCAAAUAGACAAAUAUUAAAACAAAACAAAACAUUAAAGUAUACGGCCAAUUGUGUUACAGGCAGUUGCCUGCAAUAUAAUACCCUGAGGCUGAGAUAGGAGGCUUGCCAUGAGUUUAAGGUCAUCUGGAGACCUUGUCUUCAAAAAAAGGCGUGGGGUGGAGGGGGGUCAUGUUCAAAGGACUAGUAGAACAAGGGGUGAAAGAAAAACAGUUUAGAAUUCUAGAUUUAUCCUCCAUGCUCCUACCACGUAUAAACUCAAUCCUCUCAGAUGAGGAAAGAGAUUAAAGAAGAAAAAGUCCUUCCUCAAUCCAGCUACCAAGACCUCUAUACUUGUAUCCAUUCAGUGAUCCUUAAUGCUAAAGAGUCCUAUGAGGUUUUAAAACUAGCACCUUGGAUUAAUUAAUUCUGUCCACCUGUGCUUGACUUCCCCACAGUGCUGGCUAGAAGUAUUUCUGUUAUAUAUGCACCAGAUACCCCAUUCAUAUUAUCUUCACAAUGUACCAUGGACCACAUAGCAGUAGGGUUCCCCCCAAACCCAGGAUACAUUGUGAUGUGACCUUGGCGUGUAGGUCAUGGAAGACAGUGGAAGUCUUUUAACCAGGUCCUCCCUGCGGACUUCCUACUGCAGGCCUGUGGGCGUGGCCUGAUCCAGUCUUCAUAAAUUACACAGUUCUUUGACCCUCGUGUAUUUCAUGCUUAAAAUUCAUACACAUUUAUGUUUCUUCUAACUACAAAGAGUCCCCCACACCUCCAAAAUAAGUUACCUAUUCUCCCUGUGGUUUCUAGUACCCGCUCGAUCACCCUGUAGUCUGGGCUGCGAAGUACAGGCGAUUAUUUAUCUAGAGAGCUGUGGAAUCCCUCACCUGCAACCCAGACGGAGGAACGGAAGUGACUGAGGUGUGGCUUCUCUGAUAAUGAAAAGGCAGUGGAAAGAACACAAAGUUGGGCUCCAGGGUGCUGAGGUCCGACCACGCAGUAGGUGGGCUACGAUGCCAUCAUGGAUAUCCGGACUGGUGUAGACAGUGGGAGGAAGAACCGAAGAUUCUGGUCCUCUUCUCUACUCUUUCUUUUGCCUGCAUGUUUGGGCCAGGUACUGAAAUUUGGGCCCCAAUUUCCUUGCACACAAAGGCAGAACCAAAAAGACGCGACUUCACGGAAGCCCCAGAAAUGACUAUUAUCCACAGACUGCAGAGAUUCUCCAGUACCUGUGUUAAGACAAAGAGUAUAACAUGGCCGUGGAGUCUAGGUCUGCCAUCUAUGGAUCCUGACCGGUGUUACUGAAACACAGACUAGUGAAUCUGUUCAUGUUAAGAGGUAAUUCUUACACAGAUCAAGUGGUCACCCACUCACAAAGACGACAAAAAGUUUAUACAAUAUCUUGAA